AGCCGUGCGGUGAGCACAAAGCGAACUAUUCUUUCGCCUUUUACUAAAGAAUACCGUGUGCUCGCCGCUCUUGGCGGCAUACGCCUAUUUUUGGAGGGUGGUUCUAUGUGGAACGGC
rfam:Gossypium raimondii Chr03_contig_198, whole genome shotgun sequence.